AGAGUUUGAUCAUGGCUCAGAACGAACGCUGGCGGCAGGCUUAACACAUGCAAGUCGAACGAGAAACUGGAGCUUGCUCCAGUGGACAGUGGCAGACGGGUGAGUAACGCGUGGGAACCUACCCUUUAGUACGGAAUAGCCCCGGGAAACUGGGUGUAAUACCGUAUACGCCCCUUUUGAGAGAUCAAUUGGGGGAAAGACUUAUCGCUAUUGGAUGGGCCCGCGUUGGAUUAGCUAGUUGGUGGGGUAAUGGCCUACCAAGGCGACGAUCCAUAGCUGGUCUGAGAGGAUGAUCAGCCACACUGGGACUGAGACACGGCCCAGACUCCUACGGGAGGCAGCAGUGGGGAAUAUUGGACAAUGGGGGAAACCCUGAUCCAGCCAUGCCGCGUGAGUGAAGAAGGCCUUAGGGUUGUAAAGCUCUUUCAUCGGUGAAGAUAAUGACGGUAACCGGAGAAGAAGCUCCGGCUAACUUCGUGCCAGCAGCCGCGGUAAUACGAAGGGAGCUAGCGUUGUUCGGAAUUACUGGGCGUAAAGCGCGCGUAGGCGGAUAUUUAAGUCAGGGGUGAAAUCCCGAGGCUCAACCUCGGAACUGCCUCUGAUACUGGAUAUCUUGAGUUCGAGAGAGGUAAGUGGAAUUCCGAGUGUAGAGGUGAAAUUCGUAGAUAUUCGGAGGAACACCAGAGGCGAAGGCGGCUUACUGGCUCGAUACUGACGCUGAGGCGCGAAAGCGUGGGGAGCAAACAGGAUUAGAUACCCUGGUAGUCCACGCCGUAAACGAUGGAUGCUAGCCGUUGGACAGUAUACUGUUCAGUGGCGCAGCUAACGCAUUAAGCAUCCCGCCUGGGGAGUACGGUCGCAAGAUUAAAACUUAAAGGAAUUGACGGGGGCCCGCACAAGCGGUGGAGCAUGUGGUUUAANUCGAAGCA
rnacentral:rRNA from 1 species